ensembl:lncRNA
UGAAUAACAUUAAGUUUUAACACUAUAUCUUGACUGCAUAGUUUUGUUUUGUGUCUUGCAGCGUGUCCCGUGAGCAGGUUUUGGGUCUGCGGAGAACCCCCAGAGGAAAGAACAGCUCUGGCCUCCAGACACCACAGCUCACACUCCGACACAAACUCAAACAGAAGCUCCAUGAGGUAAAACUGCACACAUGCACGUUAAUGUUUUGUGUUUGAUGCCUGCUUUUGAAAGCAUGCCUUAACAUUUGCUUUUGAUUCCAGACUGCCACCCAGUCACCACUCCCUCCCAGCAAAAGGCCCAGAUCUAUGGGCAGGAAGGGGAAGACUACGGCGGCAUCUUCUGCGCUGUGCGACACGGACGUCACACCUCGCCGCCUGCUCAGAGGCUUCAUCCAGACGGGUGGGUGCGGGCUACCGUAGCGGCGUGAUCGCCGUUUAGCUGUGUUGGAUUUGCUCGUUGUGUGACUCUCGUGAGAUGUCUUUCAGAGGCCGAGGCGUCUUUGCUGCUGUCUGGACAACCUGCACUGCCAAAGGCACACCUGCAACCUGCAGAAACAAGUAACCAUAGCAGCAGACAAAGGUGUGCCUGUAAACAACCACAGCAACUUUGACUUGAGACCUAAGUUUGUUUCUUGAGACUUUUCAUACCUACAUAAAUUACAGAAUAAAAAUAGUUGAUAACAUUUGUUGGUUAACUGGUCUGUGUACUGGUCUGUCUACUCUCAGUGAAGGGGGAAAUGGCUUCGAUUUGCCUGACUUGGCCACAGAGCCACUGAGUCAUGUGAUCAGGGGGAUGAGUCGUAGGAGGCCUGCGCCCACCUUCAGUGUAUCAGCCUUUGAGAAAGAACUGGACCAACAAUCAGGUGAAGGAGAGGAGAAUCAUGAGAACACAGAUGUGACCGAGAACCUUUCAGCUGGGACCAACAGGUGAAUGCUCACACAGCACACAGCUGCUCGGAUGGUCAGGACAUCGGUGAUGGAGGUAGUGCUUGAUUUUAGUGUGUGUGUGUGUGUGUGUGUGUCACAGUGUCCUGAGUCUUACCUUGAAGACCCCGUUUGUGAGUGAUUGCACUGAGAGGGCAGGUUUGCAGCGAAAGGCUGCCCAGAGGAAGAAGCCCUCUGUGCAUGAAUUUGACGAGGCUGUAGAGAAACAGCUGGAGAGGCAUCGCAGUGAAGGUUUGACACAGCUGCCUAGCAGAGACAUUAUCCAUUACAAACCCUCCCCU